GGCCGUUCUUAUGUAGGGCGGUUGCCCUUUUGCCUAUUUUAGUCGUGCUCUUUCUUCCCACACUUUAUCUAAUUCGGCUUAUGAGAAGGAAUUAAUGGCCCUAGUGUUGGCUAUUCGGCAUUGGAGACCUUAUUUGUUAGGCCAGAAAUUUAUUGUUAAAAUAGAUCAACGAAGCUUGAAACAUAUCCUGGAGCAGCACAUUAUCACCCCCGCCCAACAAUGCUGGGUUUCUAAGUUAUUGGGGUUUCAAUUUGAGGUGCAUUAUAAACCCGGCAAAUCGAAGUCUGCUGCUGAUGCUUUAUCUAGUCGAGGUGAUUUUGAUAAUAUGCAAUUAGUUGCUAUAAGUCAACCUCACUGGCUCGAUUUAGAUGCUGUAUCUCAUGCGUACAACAAGAUCCAGACAUGCAACCCAUUAUUGCGGCCUUAUGACAAGAUGCUCAUUCUAGGCCCCCGUAUUCUCUCAUCCAGCAGCAUUUAUUUUAUAGAGGCCGUUUGGUCAUUCCAUCAACCUCUUCUUGGGUGCACCGUCUUAUUUCAGAGUUUCAUUCCACUCCUAUUGGAGGUCAUUCUGGGGCAUUCCGAACAUAUAGAAGGUUGGCUACAGGGUUAUAUUGACGUGAGAUGAUGAAAUCAGUCCAACAAUUUGUUGCUUCUUGUCUUAUUUGUCAACAGCACAAGUAUGAGACUCUCUCUCCUGCUGGCCUCUUACAUCCUCUUCCUAUUGCAACAAAUAUCUGGGAAGAUAUCUCUUUGGAUUUUAUUACUGGAUUGUCAAAAUCUCGAGGUGUGGACUGUAUAUUAGUUGUGGUUGAUCGACUUUCUAAAUACGACCACUUCCUCCCUCUGCGGCAUCCUUUUACAGCUGCUACUGUUGCUGAUCUUUUUGUUCGAGGAAUCAUCAAGCUCCAUGGUGUUCCUCAUUCUAUUGUCAGUGAUCACGAUCCGGUGUUUGUUAGUAAUUUUUGGACUGAAAUUUUCAGAUUGAUGGGUACCCAGUUACUAAUGAGUUCUGCCUAUCAUCCGCAGACUGAUGGUCAGACUGAAGUCUUAAAUCGGAGUGUGGAACAAUAUCUUCAGCGUUUUGCUUCUGAACAACCCAAAGGUUGGGUUAAAUGGCUUCAUUGGGCUGAGUAUUGGUAUAAUACUAGUUUUCAAGGGGCUGCAAAUCUCACUCCCUUUCAGAUUGUAUAUGGUAAACCUCCUCCCUCACUCAUUCAGUAUUUUCCAGGAGAAACAAGGGUGGAAGCUGUUUCUCAUGCUUUGAUGGAUAGAGAUGAGAUACUUAGGCAAUUGUGAUACAAUUUACAGCAAGCACAAGUUAUGAUGGUGCAGCAAGCUAAUAAAAAACGUUGUGAUCUUGAGUUUCAUGUAGGCGAAAUCGUUUUCUUGAAAUUACGGCCUUAUAGGCAGCACACAGUGCAUUUUCGCAUCAAUCCAAAACUUGCUGCAAGAUUUUAUGGGCCUUUUCGUAUUACAGCUCGCAUUGGGCCUGUUGCUUACCGUUUACAGCUACCUGCUACUACUAGAAUUCAUCCUAUUUUUCAUGUAUCUCAAUUGAAACGGGUAAUAGGAGAUCGUCCUGUAGUAACAGACCUCCCUGCUACACUGGCUGUUGAUGAACCUAUUCCUACUCUUCCUGAAACUAUUUUGGCUCAUAGGGACUUUGUUCAAAAUGGUACUACAGUUCACCAAGUAUUGGUUCGUUGGCUAGGACAUCCUAUUGAGGAAGCCACUUGGAUUGAUGUGAGUGAUUUUCACGGCCAAUUUCCAGAUUUCAGCCUUGAGGACAAGGCUGUUUCAGUAGCAGGUGGCAAUGAUACACACCAGAUGCUGACUGAAGGAAGAGGUAGAGCAAAAGGGAAUGGAAGGUGUAUUCUAGAAGACUCAAGGAUCAAGAAAAUAGGUGGACAGUGGCUGCUCAACAGAAUGGGGCGAAUAUUUAGGAAAUACAGCUGGAGUGGUUAACAAUUUUGUAAAGGGAGGGAACUCUUUAUAUAUGUGUUAAUAGUAGAAUAAAGGGGUGUGGGUUUGUAAUACUGAAUUACCAGCUUUUGUAAGCUUGGUGGGCAGAGAGACUCUGCUGGAGGAAAACAUAUUCUUGUAUUGAGAUUGUUUUCCUGAUUAAUCAAAAUUCCUUCUCUUCUUCUCCAUUCUAUUUCUUUUUUUCCUUUUGUGGAAAUUCUAAUUGGUGAAGAACAGGUCCUUACUCUAACAAAAGUUUAGCAUUUUAUGUAGGAAUUUUAAUUAUUAUAGAAU
rnacentral:misc_RNA from 1 species